CAUGGGCUAGGCAUAAAUAUUCCAACAUCCUCUUCCUCCCACCGCAACCAAUUUGUCCAUCCUAGCCCCAUCGUCCUCGUGCUCCACGCCACGGCUCUGGAAAUCCAGCCGGGCUUAGAUUGCUAUCUUCGUUUCUUGAUGAGGCUCAAAGGAAGGAAUGGGGAGUCUGCGUCAAAUUUUCGUUGAGAAUUUCAGAAGCCAACGUACCAGGAGUGCAAUGCUAGAUUGUUCAUAUAUUAAACUUCUGAAUUUGCUAAGCAUUUGUAGCUCUAAGACAAUGUUACGGUGUUAUCUUUCUGAAUUUGUUAUCAUUUUGAAGCUCAAGACAUAUUCAGUACUAAACUUGCCACAACUUUUGCACUUUAUUUCAUUUUUCA